rnacentral:rRNA from 1 species
UACGGGAGGCAGCAGGGGGAAUAUUGCACAAUGGGCGCAAGCCUGAUGCAGCCAUGCCGCGUGUAUGAAGAAGGCCUUCGGGUUGUAAAGUACUUUCAGUCGUGAGGAAGGUGUUAAGGUUAAUAACCUUAGCAAUUGACGUUAGCGACAGAAGAAGCACCGGCUAACUCCGUGCCAGCAGCCGCGGUAAUACGGAGGGUGCGAGCGUUAAUCGGAAUUACUGGGCGUAAAGGGCACGCAGGCGGUUAAUUAAGUUGGAUGUGAAAUCCCCGGGCUUAACCUGGGAAUGGCAUUCAAGACUGGUUAGCUAGAGUCUUGUAGAGGGGGUAGAAUUCCAUGUGUAGCGGUGAAAUGCGUAGAGAUGUGGAGGAAUACCGGUGGCGAAGGCGGCCCCUGGACAAAGACUGACGCUCAUGUGCGAAAGCGUGGGGAGCAAACGAGGGAUUAGAUACC